rnacentral:rRNA from 1 species
AUUGAACGCUGGCGGCAGGCCUAACACAUGCAAGUCGAGCGGAUGAGGGGAGCUUGCUCCCUGAUUUAGCGGCGGACGGGUGAGUAAUGCGUAGGAAGCUGCCCGAUAGAGGGGGAUACCAGUUGGAAACGACUGUUAAUACCGCAUAAUGUCUACGGACCAAAGUGUGGGACCUUCGGGCCACAUGCUAUCGGAUGCGCCUACGUGGGAUUAGCUAGUUGGUGAGGUAAUGGCUCACCAAGGCGACGAUCUCUAGCUGGUUUGAGAGGAUGAUCAGCCACACUGGAACUGAGACACGGUCCAGACUCCUACGGGAGGCAGCAGUGGGGAAUAUUGGACAAUGGGCGCAAGCCUGAUCCAGCCAUGCCGCGUGUGUGAAGAAGGCCUUCGGGUUGUAAAGCACUUUCAGCGAGGAGGAAGGGUGGUGUUUUAAUAGAGCAUCAUUUUGACGUUACUCGCAGAAGAAGCACCGGCUAACUCUGUGCCAGCCGCCGCCGUAAUAC